rnacentral:rRNA from 1 species
AYGGYGGAGACCUAGGCACCCAGAGACGAUGAAGGGCGCAGGUACCGGCGAUACGCUUCGGGGAGCUGGUAGUAAGCGUUGAUCCGAAGAUCCCCGAAUAAAUAAAUUUCAAGAACUUCCUACAGAAUUCAUAAGUAGGAAAGAGGGAACCCGGUGAAUUGAAACAUCUUAGUAGCCGGAGGAAAAGAAAGCAAAAGCGAUUCCCGUAGUAGCGGCGAGCGAACUGGGACUAGCCUAAACCUGUGGGCAGGGGUAGUGGGAAACAAAAUGAAUAAGGAAAAAAUUAACUUGUUCUAGCUUAAGUUAAAAGUUACUUCUUAGUUAAGGUAAAAAAGCAAACCAUGCCCUAGGGUGGGGGGGCUAUGCAAGGUCAGCAUAGCUUUGCUAUGCAGCCCCAGCUUUCAGCAUGCUCCGCCAUGCAGCUCCCAGCUCAAGUUUACUUAACUUAGAGUUUGGGGUUUAAAGAGUAGCAAAAAAACGAGUGUAAGACGAAACAAUCGAAUAUUGUACCAUAGAUGGUGAAAGUCCAGUAGUUAUAAACUAAAGCGUAGUAAUAUCCCGAGUAGCAUGGGACACGUGGAAUCCCGUGUGAAUCAGCGAGGACCACCUCGUAAGGCUAAAUACUCCUGGGUGACCGAUAGCGAAGUAGUACCGCGAGGGAAAGGUGAAAAGAACCUCUGAAGAGGAGUGAAAUAGAACAUGAAACCGUAAGCUGACAAGCAGUGGGAGGGUUAAAUAAAAAGCCUGACCGCGUGCCUGUUGAAGAAUGAGCCGGCGACUUAUAGGAAGUGGCAAUAGUGUGAGGUUAAGGAGUAAUAUCCGGAGCCUAAGCGAAAGCGAGUCUUAAAUGGCUUCGUCACUUCUUAUGGACCCGAACCCGGGUGAUCUAAUCAUGGCCAGGAUGAAAUUUGGGUAACACCAACCGGAGGUCCGAACCGACCGAUGUUGAAAAAUCGGCGGAUGAGUUGUGAUUAGGGGAGAAAUUCCAAUCGAACUCGGAGCUAGCUGGAUCUCCCCGAAAUGCGUUGAGGCGCAGCGGUUAAGAUUUACCAUCUAGGGGUAAAGCGACUGUUUCGGUGCGGGCUGCGAAAGCGGUACCAAGUCGUGGCAAACUCAGAAUACUAGAUGUAGAAUUAGCUUAACCAGUGAAACACAAGGGGAUAAGCUCUUGUGUUAAGAGGGAAACAGCCCAGAUCACCAGCUAAGGCCCCUAAAUGGUCACUAAGUGGAAAAGGAUGUGAGAAUGCUGAAACAACCAGGAGGUUUGCUUAGAAGCAGCCACCCUUGAUAGAGUGCGUAAUAGCUCACUGGUAAAGCGUUCUUGCGCCGACAAUGGCCGGGACUAAGUGACCUGCCGAAGCUGUGAUAUUUCUAUUUGAAGUAGGUAGUAAGGAUGAAGAGGCUUUCUCUACCACCCGUAGGGUAUGAGAUUGCUAUAUCCUUGCUAAUAGCAAGUUGCCCCCAGCGAAGCUGGGCUGGUUUUUCAAAGCCUCUGGUACCUUCUAGCUUUUAGAAUCUAUAGGCUGCAUNNNAUGCAGCCUAUAGAUUCUAAAAGCUAGAAGGUACCAGAGACUUACAAAGUUUGAAAAACCUGACCUUGCAUAGCUUUGCUAUGCUAGGGCUACAAGGUUAAAAGUUUCUUCAAGUAAAGUAGGUAGGGGAGCGUCGUGUUUGCGGGAGAAGUCUUCACGUAAGUGGGGUUGGACCAAACACGAGCGAGAAUGUCGGCUUGAGUAACGAAAACAUUGGUGAGAAUCCAAUGCCCCGAAAACCUAAGGGUUCCUCCACUAGGCUCGUCCAUGGGGGGUUAGUCAGGUCCUAAGAAAAGGUCGAAAGGCGUAUUCGAUGGGCAACAGGUUACUAAUCCUGUACUGUUCUAUUGGGAACCGAGUGACGAAGAAGACUAAACUAGAAAUGUAGUUGGAUUGCAGUGGAAGCGUUAAGGUAUUGAGAGCUAGAAUAAAAACUAUGCUUGAGCUAAGGCGUGAUCCCUAUUCUGUGAUGGGGUAGCUAGUGAUGUCAUACUUCCUAGAAAAGCUUGAACACCAUAACAAUAGAAACACCUGUACCUGAAACCGACACAGGUAGGUUGGUAGAGAAUACCAAGGGGCGCGAGAGAACUCUCUCUAAGGAACUCGGCAAACUGGCCCCGUAACUUCGGAAGAAGGGGCACCCUCUCUAAAAGGAGGGUCGCAGUGACCAGGCUCUGGCGACUGUUUAUCAAAAACACAGGUCUCCGCAAAGUCGAAAGACAAUAUAUGGGGGCUGACGCCUGCCCAGUGCCGGAAGGUUAAGGAAGUUGGUUAUUUAUUAUUUAGAGAAGCUGACGACCGAAGCCCCGGUGAACGGCGGCCGUAACUAUAACGGUCCUAAGGUAGCAAAAUUCUUUGUCUAGUAAGUUUAGACCUGCACGAAAGGCGUAACGAUCAGAGCGCUGUCUCGGAGAGAGACUCGGUGAAAUAGACUUGUCCCGUGAAGAUGCGGACUACCUGCACCUGGACAGAAAGACCCUAUGAAGCUUGACUGUAUCCUGUAAUUGGGUUCGGGCUUUUCUUGCGCAGCCUAGGUGGGAGGCUAUGAAGGUUCUCUUCCGGGAGAACUAGAGCCAUCAUUGAGAGACCACUCUGGAAGAGCUAGAAUCCUAAUGGUGAUCUUUGAAUCAAGACACUUGACAGUUUCAGGUGGGCAGUUUAUCUGGGGCGGAUGCCUCCUAAAGCGUAACGGAGGCGUGCAAAGGUUCUCUCAGUCUGGACGGAAAUCAGACAUUGAGUGUAAAGGCAAAAGAGAGCUUGACUGCAAGACCUACAAGUCGAGCAGGGGCGAAAGCCGGCCUUAGUGAUCCGACGGUGCCGUGUGGAAGGGCCGUCGCUCAACGGAUAAAAGUUACUCUAGGGAUAACAGGCUGAUCUUCCCCAAGAGUCCACAUCGACGGGAAGGUUUGGCACCUCGAUGUCGGCUUGUCACAUCCUGGAGCGGUAGUACGUUCCAAGGGUUGGGCUGUUCGCCCAUUAAAGUGGCACAUGAGCUGGGUUCAAAACGUCGUAAAGUAUUGCAGACAGUUCGGUCCAUAUCCG